AUGGCGGCCUUGCGGCCCGGAAGCAAAGCGCUUCGCCCGCCUCUCUGCCGUUCCUUCUCCGGCGGCGUUGGUCGGCUGGCCCGUGAACGCGGUACGGAGCGCAGGGAUGCUGCGUCCAGCCGGGUCUCAAGAUUCUGCCCUCCAAGACAGUCUUGCCAUGAUUGGAUAGGACCCCCAGAUAAAUAUUCAAACCUUCGUCCGGUUCAUUUUCAUAUUCCUGAAAACGAGUCCCCCUUGGAACAAAGGCUUAGAGAAUUGAGACAAGAAACACAAGAAUGGAACCAGCAGUUCUGGGCGAACCAGAAUUUGAGUUUUAACAAGGAAAAAGAAGAAUUCAUUUGCUCAAGACUGCAAGCUAAAGGCUCAGUCCUGCGAACCAAGUCAGGUCAAAGAGCAGCAUUGGAUGCAGAGGAAAUGGCUGACUUUUAUAAGGAGUUUCUGAGUAAGAAUUUUCAGAAGCACAUGUGUUAUAACCGAGACUGGUACAAGCGUAAUUUUACCAUCACGUUCUUCAUGGGGAAAGUGGCGCUGGAGAGGAUGUGGAGCAAACUGAGACAGAAGCAGAAGACGAGCAGUUAGGAGCCCGCCUGGGUCUGCCCUGCCAGCACCCAGCUUCCAUUUAUGAGGGCCCUGGAAGCUGUAAACAGCCUCUGCCACAUGCUCCUUGACGUGAGGUGGCCCUUCCCCAGCAACGCAAAGCCCGUGGCCAAGUGACCUGAACUGUGAGACCGUUCCCUUUCCUCCUCUACGUUAAUGUCUCCAGGAGUUUGUCAGCAGCAAGAAGCUAAUGCUGUCGUCCUGUGUGCUGCUACUGAUGGGCCUUGAAACCCUGUGCAGACCCCACACCACCAGUGCUUUGACCGUUUGCCCCAGAACUGUCGCUCUGAAACGGGGGUAUCGCCAUUGUUGGACGGAUGGCCCCUCAGUGGGUGGUGCGGUGACCAGUCCAAGUGGGUACGCCGUGUGAGGGCGGCACCGUCCUCCGGGCUCGGGAAGCCAGCUGCUUGUUCAGGAAGAGAAACUAAAGCAGGCUUGAGUCAGGUAGGCAGGUAGCUUAGAGCCUUUGGAAGCAGAUUCCCAGGCCCUACAUCCAGGCCAGGGCUGUGCCACGCGCCCAAGCAUCACGUCAGCAGCUCCCUCUGGAGAAACCGCUGCCUUCAUGCAGAUGGCGGCCCUUGUCAGGUCCUCACCUGGUCCUAACUACAAGCACAGGACUCAGCAAGAGGUGACAGGGACAUGAGACUCAUUACCCCAGCAUCUCAGGUUGAAGGCCAAAGCUACCAUCCCCUCCUCCUUUUAAUAGUUGUUUGUUAGUGUGUGUGUGUGUGUGUGUGUGGUGAAUGAGUGUGUGGUGAAAGUGUAUGUGUGUGGUGAGUGUGCGGUGAGAAUGUGUGUGUGUGUGGUGUGACUGUGGUGUGUGUGAGUGUGUGUGUGUGGUGUGACUGUGGUGUGUGUGAGUGUGUGUGUGUGGUGAGUGUAUGUGUGGUGAGAGUGUGUGUGUGUAUAGUGUAUGUGUGAGUAUGCAUGUGUGAGUGUGUGUGGGUGUGUGUGGUGUGUGUUUGUGUGUGUGUGGUGAGAGUGUAUGUGUGUGUGUGAGUGUGUGUGUGUGGUGAGAGUGUAUGUGUGUGUGUGAGUGUGUGUGUGUGGUGAGAGUGUGUGUGUGUAUGUGUGUGUGUGGUGAGAGUGUAUGUGUGUGUGUGUGAGUGUGUGGUGUGUGUGUGUGAGUGUGUGUGGUGAGUGUGUGUGUGGUGAGAGUGUGUGUGUGAGUGUGUGUGGUGAGAGUGUAUGUGUGUGUGUGUGUGUGUGUGUGUGGUGAGUGUGUGUGUGUGUGGUGAGAGUGUAUGUGUGUGUGUGUGUGUGUGGUGAGUGUGUGUGUGUGUGGUGAGAGUAUAUGUGUGUGUGUGGUGAGAGUGUGUGUGUGUGUGUGUGUGUGUGUGUGUGUGUGUGUGUUUAACCAAACAGCUCUCAGUUGCUCUCCCGAGAUUGAGCUCUGGUUAGCAGGUUGUGGUGAGAACCUCCACCUGCUGAGGAGCCGACACCCUGGACUGAGGGCCGCUGCUGUCUGAAGAGUGGCCUCACGUGAGCCAGACAGCAAGCCUAAGCUAAUCCGUUACCACGGCCGGCAGAUGGCCUCUCUCCUCUGCAUUGGACCUUGUGGUGGCGGUAGCAUGAAGCUUAGAAGCAGCCCCUUUCACAGAGGACCAAGGCUGUCGGGAAGGCAUCGCUCAGCCUUGACCUUGGGAUCUGACCCAGAACAGGGAGCAGACCCUUGAGGUGUGUGUGUGACAGUCACUCUGGUCUCACUCUUCACUUUCCUGUCACGGUGGUGUGCGCUCCCUGCAGUGCCCUGUCCUCCCCCGUGGGGUGUGAACCCGUGAAAGCCUGAGCGGGAAGAAAUCGUUUUUGUCAGAUGUUCUCACAGUUAUGUAAGAGGAGCAGACGCGAACACGUGCUCUUCCUCAGGCCGAGGCCCGGCUGGCUUUGUGAGGAAAGUUGUUAGUCCAAGAACCGUGGAGCAGGAGUUUGUGCGAAGGGUACACACUAGUGCCCCUGUGGUGGUCUCCUGAGAUUGUCCUGGUGUGGGCCAUGAGACAAGUUCAGCUUGAUCCUAGAAGUGCACUGAGUGCAUGACAAGAAACGCUACACAGUUGGGUGGUGGCGCACGCCUUUAAUCCCAGCACUCGGGAGGUAGAGCUAGCAGAUCUCUGUGAGUUUGAGGGCAGCCUGGACUACCAAGUGAGUUCCAAGGACAGCCAGAGCUAUUAUACAGAGAAAUCCUGUCUCAAAAAACCAAAUAAAUAAAUAAAUAAUAAAAUAAAAUAAUAAUAAUAAAACAAAAAAAAUAGAAAGAAAGAAACUUAGGGUCUGGCCUCAAACUCACAGAGAUCCUCCUGCCUCUGCCUCCUGAGUGCUGGGAUUAAAGGCGUGCGCCACCACCGCUCGGCUAGAGAGUGUAUCAAAUGUAGACCAGGCCGGCCUCUAACUCACAGAAGUCCUUCUGUCUCUGCCUCCUGAGAUCACAAAUACUUGCAAAAUAAAUUGUAAUUGCAGUUAUUUUGACUAUAAAAUUUGUUUUGUUUUUUAAAAGUCAUACCAAGGUGAGUCUCUUGCAUAGCCACAUUCUAAUAAAGUAUUACUGUAGAGA